rnacentral:rRNA from 1 species
UACGUAGGGGGGCAAGCGUUGUCCGGAUUUAUUGGGCGUAAAGAGCGUGUAGGCGGCCAGGUAGGUCUGCUGUGAAAACUCGAGGCUUAACCUCGAGAUGUCGGCGGAAACCAUCUGGCUAGAGUCCGGAAGAGGAGAAUGGAAUUCCCGGUGUAGCGGUGAAAUGCGCAGAUAUCGGGAGGAACACCGGUGGCGAAGGCGGAUCUCUGGGCCUUACCUGACGCUGAGGCGCGAAAGCUAGGGGAGCAAACAGG